AUUGAACGCUGGCGGAAUGCUUUACACAUGCAAGUCGAGCGGCAGCGCGGGGCAACCUGGCGGCGAGCGGCGAACGGGUGAGUAAUACAUCGGAACGUACCCAGUUGUGGGGGAUAGCCCGGCGAAAGCCGGAUUAAUACCGCAUACGACCUGAGGGUGAAAGGGGGGGAUCGCAAGACCUCUCGCAGUUGGAGCGGCCGAUGGCGGAUUAGCUAGUUGGUAGGGUAAAGGCCUACCAAGGCGACGAUCCGUAGCUGGUCUGAGAGGACGACCAGCCACACUGGAACUGAGACACGGUCCAGACUCCUACGGGAGGCAGCAGUGGGGAAUUUUGGACAAUGGGGGCAACCCUGAUCCAGCCAUUCCGCGUGAGUGAAGAAGGCCUCGGUUGUAAGACUCUUUCGGUCCGGGAACGGAAAGUACGCAUGGUGGAAUACCCUACGUGUGGAGUGACGGUACCGGAACGUAAGAAGAC
rnacentral:rRNA from 1 species